AUUUUUUUAAUAUAUAUAUUUUUUUCCAGAAUGUUUUGAAAUAUGCUUCAUAUGGUUAACUUCAUGUGGGUAUAGGCAGCCAAAGAAAAUGGAGAAUACUAUUUAUUAUCAUAAGGUUAUUAUCUCCUGAGUGUCAAAUUUGUCAUGAAAGUAGAAAUGCAGCCACUACUCCUACUUUCGAACAGGACUUUCUGCCAAUAGAUUCUAAAUAUGAAAAUAUCUGUAUACUCAAAGCCACUGUUCUGCAGAAAACACGAUUACAGCCAGAGAUUGAGCCCUAAUGAUUGGCCUUGGGAUCUUUGAGACUUUGGUCAAACUAAUUUCUAAGCUAUUGCUAAGGUGUUCUCUAUUGCAAGAAUUAUUGACUCUUUAGUCAAACACUCUGUCCUGGAAAACCUAACCUAGUGGACCAUUUGAUUAUGAGAUGGUAAAAAACAUCUGGAAUGCAGACGGCCAGAACUGUAGGAUUUCAAGGAAAAGUAUAUAACAGUAUCAAAGUUUGUCUGAAUUAUGACCAUUUACCAUUUCCUCAUUAUGAUAAUUAUGCCACUUUAUGAGGCAUUUCUACACAUCAUGUCUUGUUUUGAAAAUAUUUUUAAAUGUUGAUUUAUCUCUGCAAAUUAAUAUUCUUUUUUAGGGCCAUUUGUAUAAAUUUUGCAACAUUUAAUGGGAGCUCAUACAUGGAGAUCUUAUACAAGUUCGUGUUUUAUGCAAUGUUACCAUCUGAAAAUAUUUUUCCUAAUAUCAAAGUCUGAAACCUAAAAUCAGGUAGGAUUGAUUUUCUCUUUACUGCUAAUUAUUGAUAUUAUAUGUCAAAAUUCAAUUCCACCAUUUUUGAAAUAUUAAAGCAGCAUAAUAGGUGUACAGUUAGCUUAUCCCUCAUACAUUGUAUAAACUUCUGAUAUUAACAUGAGGAAACUACAGGUCUCCAAAUGAACUAAUCAUAUAAUACUAAGUAAACAUGCCUGUGUCUAAAGAUAUGAGGUUAGGUUACAUUCCAAAAGGAGAACGUGGAAUAAAAACAUGGUAUCUUAGAAAUGGGCGUCUAAUACAAUCAUUUUUAAUGUACCUCCCAGAGAUUGCUUAAAGGCAAAGGUGACCACAAGGCCAGUGGUAGAUGGUUACAAGCCGUCUUCCCCAACAUCUGUGUAAAUAGAUUCAAAGAACCAAAGGCUGCAGUUUCAAAAAUUAAACUACAAAAGGCUAUAUCUAUAACCGUACACAAAAUCGCUUUGUCUACCCCUUCUUCUUACCCCCUACUACUUCUGGUGCAAUUAAAGAAAAAGGAUGUCUGAAGACCACCAAGAAGUAAAAGGGCAGAAGGAGGACAUGGGAAUAAUUAUUUUCAAGGGUGCCUUGAAACUGUAGUUAGUCCUUCUUUCUGUACUCUGUAGAAUAUCUUUGCAUAUAAAUCAGGUUGAUGUGUUCAGAUCACAUUUGUUCAUAAAACGUGCAAUUUUUAUUGACACGAAUUCUACAUUUCUAUCUUUCUGUUGUUUUAAUUUGCAAUUAUAUAGUUAAAUAUGAUGUAAAGGGAGGGUAUGCUAUAUUGCUGCUAUUUGUGAGCAUUAACACAAAAAUUGUGGGUACUUCCAAUCUCAGGAAAAGAUACAAAUAACCGUUUUAGUAAUAGGUUAUUUAGUUAACCUAUUACUCUAAAAUGCACCUUGUACAAUAAACCCAAAUUUAGGAACCUAAACUUCCCUAAAUUCCUUAAGGAAAAGGAAUACAAAUUUUGACCAAAACAGAAAAACUGCAAGAGGAGUGGGAAGAUGAUGGAGAUGGUAGUGUAUUUCAGCUUCUGAAUAUGUGUCAGCCUUUAUUAAAAUCUGUGUGCCAGAUACACAACAUACAAUUAAACCCCUUCAAGAUAAAGACAAAAAAUUAAGACAGAAUUCUGAAGACAUGUGGCCCAGUAAGAAAACUAUAUUUAUCUUACUCAAAAAUCAUUUUUCUUCCCUACAAAGCCUACUGUAUUUCUUCUGAAAGUAUUGAUUCACAGGUAAGAAAUUUGCUGACAUCUGAAACAUUUUAAGUCAAUAAAAAGUUUAAAAUAUAACUCCCCUAAGUAACUAGCAGGUUAUGUUCUUUCUGAUUAGAAAAGCUGUGAAAUUCACUAUGCCUUCUUUUGUUUACUAACUGAUCAGACCUCAAUCUAUUCUCUACCAGUAUAUUAACACAGUGAAUGGCACAUUUAUUUUUCCAUUUCAUGGUCUUUAAUUUCUUUCUCAGUAGAUUUUUUAUAUAUCAUCAUUUUUUGAAGCAGCUAAGACAAUUUUUUACAAUCAUAUAGAAAAAUAAGAAAAAAAUGCUGCAUAAUCUAUUACAUCUCUAUAAUCUGAGACUUCAUUUUCACAUUCCCAUUUUAUUUCUCAUUACCUUU
rnacentral:lncRNA from 1 species